GACCAGGCUCCGGUUCAAACUCAACCGAGUUGAACCGCUGAACCGGUCGACCAAUUUAAAAACUAGAAUUGUAGGGCUUUACCUUCAGAGAAGGAGCCCUUCCAGAAAUUCUCGACGGCCCGAGUCAAGCCCGGGCCGAAGAGGGGGUUUGGAAAUAGUUUUCAACCAGCAAUAGACGCGCCUCGGUUAGAACCUCACUAGCUGCGUCAUUGCCCCAAGCGCAAAGAUGCUUUUAAAGCUUCAAUGUCCGUCCCUUUAUAUAGCUGCACUGAAAUGCACAUUCUCUUCCAUUGUCGAUGUGGGACAGUUAGUUUUUGCAAUUUGCAAAUUAAUAAUGGCUGAGAAAAAUAGAAUUGCAAAUUAUUGAACAACAGAGACUAAGCACCGCUCCGCCACCGCCACCACCGUUCUGUCGCCGGAGGCCGACUGUCCGACCACCGUUGGCCGUGUUGAAGGAACCCUAAAAUCUGAGUUUACAGAUGUACGUGCUGUGGUUUGUUAUUGCUGCUAUUGAUCACCCGACAGUCCAAUCGAUACAAAAUAAAUCAUAUCAUCAUGCCUGUAAAGUUUCUUCUUGUCUUCAAAUUCAAGCAUUGUUUAGGUUGGCUUUUGUGGAGAAGGCUGAUGUUUCUAUUUUGUCAAGUGAGUACUUUGUGAGCUUUGUUCGAUUAUCCAUUUUUGUUUUUGAGAAAUAUUCUAAAUUCUGGAGUUUAAGAAAUUUUGUCCUAACAUUUCUUGUCGCCCAUAAAUUUAGAUUAUUGUUGAGAUUUUAAAAGUUAAGAAUCCAAAUGUAUGGCUAUGUCUGGACAGUCUUUUUUGGUGAAUUUUGAUACUGUUAUAUUCAAAAAGUCUAAAAAU